CUUAUUCCACUUUAGUUAUCACAUUGCCCGUGUGCUAUAAGUAGGAGAUGGGUGGAAGGAUCAUCGCAUCUCGGAAGAACAAGGAAGUGGGGAUUACCAAAAACUAGAAAAAAAAUAUGAUGCCAUUUAAGGCGUUUUUCAUCCUUUUGGCUCUCCUCUGCAGUUUAAUCAUCCAACCAAGUAUGGCUACCAGGGAUCAUGCCCAUGAUACACAAACAAAAGUAGGUGGCCAGAAGCCGGUAGAUGCUAAGCCUAUUACUCCUGGUGCGUUAAAUCCGCGUAGGCCAGUUUAUGGAGUGCCCAGCGGUAGGCCUUACCAACCUGGCUGCAGAAAGAUCUACGGAUGCCGUGCUAAUCCUCCCACCCCAUAACUGCCACUAAAAUUAUAUCUAUACUAGUAUCCGGGGCCAUUGACCAAUCCCGGGUCGAACGUAUAUUAUGUUCACUUUGUAUCAAUCCAUGCAUGCACUAAAUAAGCAGCCCAACGCAGAUGUCAGAUCUGGGCUUGUUCAACUUACAACGGAGAGCUAUAUAAUAUAUACCUCUAUAUUUUGAGUGCUCUUCUACUGUUAUUGUCAUUGUUCUAAGACUUGGGGCUCAUGUCCAUAUUAUGAAAAUCAUCAUCAUUAUUGCUGAGUAAAAGAAUAUGGACUCCUACCCUUGAAAAUUAUGUUUUAUGCUUAUACUUUUCUGUUCUGCACUUUUUUAUUUUUAUUUUUUAUUAUUUUUUGACAAGCCGGAUAGAAGUAUGGCAGAUCAAAAAUAAUUCAUCAAAAGAAAUCAGAUAAUGCAAAUAAACAAGAGUAAUAGCAACUGCAAUAAAUGGCGAUAAUCUUAGGAACUAAGACCCUAUACAAGCAAGUCCAUAUAUGGCUAUAUUAAAAUUAUUUUCGUUUGCUUUAUAAACUAUUUCCAUGUUAUUAAAGCAGUAGCAAUUUGAAAGACAAAUCUCGCAUGAAAUGCAAUCCUGAUUGAAGACAUUGCAGCUGAAUCUAAGAAGUUGGGACCACAGGCCUUACGAAUUAGAACACUAAUUAGUUGUUUCUUCACAUGGCGAGCCAACAUCAUAGUCUGAGGCAUACGAGAUCCCACAACUGGAUGAAGUGAAAUCUUGGUUCUUGGUAUUUUUUUCUUCCUCAUAGUGCUUUCACGCAUUCUUCAUAACCUUAAAUGGUUGGUCUUUGAAGAAGCGCCGCCCCCGUUCUCCGAUCCUUCACAAGAAAGUGAAACGAGUGAAAUUCCAAGAAGACAUCAUUGUCUUUAGUGAAGUUAUGAAUUGAAUUCAGGUUUGUGUUAAUUGACGGAACACAGAGAGUAUUAGAGAGUUUGAAGGAGUGAGGAGAGGAGGGAAUGGAUGUAGAGCCGACAUGGGUUACACGCAAACCUGAACCAUCACCGAUGACGACCUCGUAAGUGCUAUCAUAUUCGGAGUGGAUGGAGAGAUUGGCAAGAUCGGAAGUGACGUUGUGGGACGUCGCCGAAUAAACGAGCUAUUUCUUGUUCCAAGAGGAAGAUGAAGGAGAUGCACAGUUGGCAGAGACGCCAGGCCGCGGCUUCACACAACAAGUUUUAGCUGAAUGACCUGGAAUGUCGCAAAGUUGGCAAGUGAGGGUGGCCGUAUCAGGACGACGAUGAGGCCUGGACUUGCCAGAGUGUGGGCGAGAGGUCUUCUUGUUGGAAUACUUGUGGUGGUUGGACGCCCGGCAUUGGGUGGAGUUCGCAGUGGCAACAAGAGUAGCCGUGGACGUCUCGAGACGACGGAUACACUACAACAAUAAAGGGUUCUGGCGACUCUAUAUUGCCGACGCUACAAAAAAGCGUCGGCAAAUUUUUUUCUUGCAACGGUAAAUGCCGACGCUUGGGAAAAGCGUGGGUAAAAACGUUCCGCCGACGCUUUUAAGCGUCGGCGUAGGAAAAAAAUACGACGACGCUUAUAAGCGUCGUCGGACUUCACUUCUCCCCCCCACAAAACCCCAUCGACCCCCUCCCUCCAUAGCCCACAGCCCUAAAUCCCUAACUCACGGCGACCGACCCUCUCCGUCCUCAGCCCUUUUCACCGAUCUCAGCCAAUCUCCUCCGACGAACGAUCCCAAAUCGUGUUCCUCCGCCGCAUCUCCUUCCCCUCCUCCCCCUCUCCGUUGGCCAGGUUUGGGAUCUUCUUCUCUUGCUUCGAUCAUAGGAUUGGGAUCAGGUGGAGGAUAUAACGAUGGCUGCUAAAAAUGGCUCAACGACUAUUGAGAAAGAGCAGGAUUGAAGAGAACAACUGCAGGAUCCGCUUCUCCCCCGGCUCUCGCCUACUCCUCCUCCGAGGAGAUCCCGUCCGAGUCCCCUGUGUCAUCUUGAAGGAUUGGAAUAUUGGAAAGCUCUGCUACGAAUUCGACAGAGCCAUACUCGCUCGCCCGGGAUAAACAAGUCAAAGAUUUUGCCUCUCUAUCUGGAAUCGAGGUGUUCUCCCCUGUGAGCCAUACUCUCUUCAAUCCUGCAGUUGUUAUAGGAAAGGUAGUCCCUAGCUCUUGUACUAUCAAUUAUUAUUAGCAGACUCAUCAAAAAAAAGGAGUAUUACUUGAGGUAAGACUGAAGUUGUGGUAUUGGUUGCAUUUGUUUUAGAAGGUAAUAUGGCAAUCGAUAGGGGGUGGUAUUGACAACCAACAAUGAAAGUAUUGGGUGGUAGUGGUCAGUAUUACCUUAUUGACAACUUCAUUCUUCCUAGUCUCAUUGCAUGCCCACUCUAACAUCCUCAUCUCCCCAUACUUCAAAAAACAGCUAUGGGAAUGCGAAAUGUACACCAUUUAACUAAAUGGUGUGUGAGAUUUGAUUUUAAUCACAGAAACAAUUUUUAGAUGCUCCAGCUCUUUUAUAUCUUUGCUUUUCCCAUUGUUGGAUCUGAACUAUUGGUCCAGCCACUCUGUGUCAAGCUUCAUGGUACUGCAGGGAAGCUCUUAAAUAAAUUAGAAAGGUUGGGCUAGUGCAGCAAUUUGUGAAUCAUUAGAGUUACCUAAUCCUAAAUUGAGGUACCAAACUCUGUGAACAAUUCUUUGUAUACAGUUUAACAAUUUUGAUGGCUUUUCUUAUGUCACCUUUCAUCUCUGUAGUGAGGAAGAUAUACUUAUGAACAUCUAGA